UCCAAAGUUCCUAUGGCAGUCGAUGGGAGUGUCGCAACUCUGUUUUUCAAGGCUCUGUCAAUAGCAUAGAAGGAUGCCAAUUUUCUAGGCGGGGCAGUGAUAUUUUAACCGUAUCUUCAGCUUCCGUUCUUAUCGGUUCAUCUCGCGUCCUGAUGCGCGCAUAAUUAAACUAAGCGAAAGUGUUUCUUUCUUCCCGUGAAUAAUAGCUUUGUCUAAUUUUAAUUCAUGAUGGACAUUCUUACCUGUAUUUUAAGACCACUUCUUAUUAUGAUGGUCGCUGAUGGGUUGAUUGUUCACGGUCCCUCUGGUCCUCUGGUUGCUCCUCUGGGAUCUUCAGUGGUUUUGCCCUGUUAUGUUGAUGAACUCUUAUCAAUGGAGGAUCUGGAGGUAGAAUGGAGAAGAAAAGGCUCAGAGACUCUGGUUCAUGUGUAUAAAGAUGGUAAGAGUCGACCAGAGUCCCAGCAUCAGGAUUAUCAUGAUAGAGCUCAUUUCUUUACUGAUCAGAUUCAACAUGGAAACUUCUCUCUCCGUCUGGACAAUCUGAUGCCUGAAGAUGAGGGAAAAUACACCUGUAAAGUUUACAGUCAGAAGGAUUCUGGAGAAACUGUGGUUCAAAUAAAGCAUGAGCGUUUGCUAGUAUCCGGAUCAGAUCGGUCUGUGUCUGCAUAUGAUGAUGAGGACGUCACUCUGAACUGCUCUGUAGACUCUCACAUCACACCUGAACACAUUGAAAAGGUUUCAUGGAUAAGAACAGAUGGAGGUAUUCUGGUUCUGCUCUUUAAAAACAACAAGACUUUUCCAGAUUCAUCACAUGAGAGAUACAGAGACAGAGUCGAGUUCUUCACUGCUGAAAUCCCCAAAGGAAACUUCUCUCUCAGACUGAAGAGUGUCAGAACUGAGGAUAAAAAAGUUUACAUGUGUAAAGUGUUUGCUGGAGGACUUUCAGCCAAUGCAACUGUUGUACUGGAGAGACUGGGUUUCUCUUCUUGGCACAUAGCCGUGUUGUUCUUCUGUUUCACUGCUGGCUCUGGAGCUGUGCUUCUGCUCCUCUCUCUGAUCUACUGCAGAUCAAAUAACACUGUUUCUACAAGCAACAAAAUCUGGAACCUUCAGCUUUCUUUGGUCUUUUGUCCAAACAUCUGUAUGUUCUUGGCCUUCAUCCUCUGGGGCUUUACUGAAGGAUCUCUGAGUGAGACCAUCACUUGCUGUGCUCUUUAUUUUCUAAGGCCUGUUAUGUUGAUUUGGGCCAUGCCUUAUUUAAAGUAUCUUCAAGACAUCCUUAAAACAUGGAUAAAGUUUUUCAAAAUAACCAGAGAGCUUGCUAUUUUUACAGUCGUUUUUUAUUCAGUUAUUUUUACAUAUGGCUGGAGAAAGAGAGCACACUUGGAUUGGAGUGGAGUGUACUUUGGAAUUGUUGUGCUUCUCUGUCUCAUCUUGAGUAGAGGUUUUAAAAACCAAAGGUGGAUUUUAGUUUGCGUCUAUUUAUGUUCUCCUUUUCAGUUGUUUCAGUUGUUUCAGUUGUUUCUGAUGUACUCAUUUGGAUAUCCCUCUUUAGGACAUCUCAUUGUGGUAAUGGUUUUGUCACUACUGCAGAUCUUUAUAUUCUUUUUACCUCGUCUGCAAGCAAAAUUCAAAUUUCUCCGCCACAGAUGGAUAACAUUAUUUGGGAUAAUAACAAUAACACUCCUGGAUUUCAUCCUAUUGAUUUAUGUUCUUCGAGCCAUAUUGGAAAGAGAGAAGGAGUGCUGGGAAUGGAUCCGUGUCAUUUUAUUUAUAGAAGUUCUGAAGCUGAUCGUGAUCUUUAAAGCAAAUGUGCAAGUGAAUGAAUGUGUAGUAGUCCAGAGACGAGGAGAAAAAACUGAAACGAGCCACAGAGGAGAAAAUUCAUUGUCCCGCUGUAAUGAAAUCAUGUACAUGUUUGGAGCAGUUGGUGUUAUUUUGCUGAGCUCAGUUACACUGACUGCAGAACUGAUCCUGAAAGCACGAAAUGGUGAGCGUGUCUUGAAUGAUCUGGGAGUCAUUGUCUUCCCUUCUGAAUGUGUUUUUGCCUUGUAUUGGCUGGCUUUACAAAUGCAUGCUUACUCUCAUCUUUCUGUCCCUCAUCAUCACUGGUGGCAUGUUGCUGCAUAGCUGUCUGGCUCACUUCUUCACUGCUGCUAAUAUUUAACUGCGAGGUGCUGCUGCUGGCUGUGCUGCUAAAUAUUUCAGUUAGUUUGCGACAUUAAGCAGCUUCAGUAUCUAUUCAUAUUGUUUGUUUGUUUGUUUCUAUGCUUCUUCUAUCUAACGUCUUUGCUGUUUGUUUCUUCCUACUCUUCCACUUCUUCUUCUCCUUACUUGGCGGCCAUGGCCAGUGCAGCUGGCAUCCAACUUAAAGGUGCAUUGCUGCCACCUACAGUACUGGAGUGUGAAACAGAUUAGUGGGUAAAAAACAGGUGACUGCGUGCGUGGCGGGUGGUGGGCCGGCCGUCCUGGAGUACCGGCCGUUCUGUGAUUCUCCAGAGCACACAGAUGGCCAGUCCGCCCCUGGAUACAAACAGUUAUUGAGGUGAAGGAGGGUCAGUGCUGCUAAAAGUGAGGUAAACGUCGAAGUGACAAACAAAAAGUGACCAGUAGUGGCAGCCUGCAUUAUUUAAGUUUGGCCUUUUAUACAGUCGUUCUUAUUUUACUGAACCAAUUACAAACAGUCUUAACAACUUAGUCUCUCUAAUGUCUCCUGUCACACAGGGAAGAUUGUUACAACUGGAUUUACACAGAACUUACCUCACAGAAGUCAUCUCAGGAGCACAACAGAAGAUCAUGAAACGGAGAAUCUGUCUGCACCUGAUCCUGACGUUUAACAGACACAGAUAUGAGAAACCAACUUGUGUACAUUUAUCCUGUAACAAACUGAGACCGAACACUACAUUGUAAAUCACAGGGUUUGGUGACAUUCUGGUACACGUUUUCAAAAGUAAAUGCUGUUAUAAGUUUCUUCUAAUAAUUCUUAUUAACAAAACGCAACCAUUUCUUCAUAAACAGAUUGACGUACAGCUAUUAUGUGUUGUGUUAUUAAAAAUAUAUGUUUAUUCAUGUUUGAGUAUUCAGUUAAAGAAGAGGGAGCUGAACAUGUUUAGUAAAUCUAUUGCAUUAGUGGUUUGAAGCCCACGUAUUUUCUGUUUCAGCUAAUAUUAAAGUUUAACAGAUCUGUACAACAUUUAAAUCUAUAUAAAUGUAUUAAUGUAACAUUUAAGACACUCCAGCAGUUUGUAUGGUAUCUUAAUUGCUUUAGCUUGUGUUAUUUGUAUGUGCAUUUCAAUAAUAAUAAAUGCCGAGAGUGCUUUCUAUUGAAGUCUCCAAGAUUAUGAGAUAUAAUCAUCAUAUCACAAUAAAAAUCAUGAGACCA